GAUGAACGCUGGCGGCGUGCCUAAUACAUGCAAGUCGAGCGAACAGACGAGGCUCUUGCUCCUCUGACGUUAGCGGCGGACGGGUGAGUAACACGUGGAUAACCUACCUAUAAGACUGGGAUAACUUCGGGACACCGGCGCUUAUCCCGGAUAAUCUAUUGCACCGCAUGGGUCGAUAGUGAAAGACGGCUUUGCUGUCUCUUAUAGCUGGUUCCCCGCCGCAUUAGCUAGUUGGUAAGGUAACGGCUUACCAAGGCAACGAUGCGUAGCCGACCUGAGAGGGUGAUCGGCCACACGGGAACGGAGACACGGUCCAGACUCCUACGAGAGGCAGCAGUAGGGAAUCGUCCGCAAUGGGCGAAAGCCUGACGGAGCGACGCCGCGUGAGUGAUGAAGGUCUUCGGAUCGUAAAACUCGGUUAUUAGGGAAGAACAAAUGUGUAAGUAACUAUGCACGUCUUGACGGUACCUAGUCAGAAAGCCACGGCUAACUACGUG
rnacentral:rRNA from 1 species